CCUACGGGGGGCAGCAGUGGGGAAUAUUGCACAAUGGGGGAAACCCUGAUGCAGCGACGCCGCGUGAGUGAAGAAGUAUUUCGGUAUGUAAAGCUCUAUCAGCAGGGAAGAAAAUGACGGUACCUGACUAAGAAGCCCCGGCUAACUACGUGCCAGCAGCCGCGGCAAUACGUAGGGGGCAAGCGUUAUCCGGAUUUACUGGGUGUAAAGGGAGCGUAGACGGCCAUGCAAGUCUGAUGUGAAAACCCGGGGCUCAACACCGGGACUGCAUUGGAAACUGUGCGGCUGGAGUGUCGGAGAGGCAA
rnacentral:rRNA from 1 species